rnacentral:rRNA from 1 species
AUGGAGGAUAGAGCCACUUGGGCAUGGAACGAGGUGGGAGAGUAUACAGCAACAUCGGCCUACAAGAUGCUAUGGGAAGGAGGGAUCAGAUUUCACGCCAAUGCCGCGAUUUGGAAGUGCUGGGCCCCGCUAUCAUGCAAGAUUUUCAUGUGGCUGGCAAUUCAAUACAGGCUCUGGACCUCAGACAGGAGGCUUAGACAUGGGCUACAAGAAGAAUCUUCCACCUGUUUUUUGUGCGAUCAAGAGGAAGACAAUGUGGAUCACUUACUGCUACAAUGUGUCUUCGCAAGACAGGUUUGGUACUUAUGCUUCUCCAAGGUGGACAUCGAUCUAGGCUUGAUUCCCUCUCAUCAAGACAAGCUUCAAGAUUGGUGGACUAGCACACGCAAGCAAAUCCGCAAGGAAGAAAGGAAGGGCUUUGACUCGUUUGUCAUGCUCAUUAGUUGGACGCUGUGGAAGCAAAGGAACAAUAGGGUUUUCCGGUCUGGUAACAUCUGUAAUGUGGCUGACACGGCAGAGCUUAUUUUUGCUGAUUUACGACAAUGGGCUCUGGCAGGAGGGAGAGGAGUUCAUCGAUAUUGUGAGUAG